CCAGACUCGGUAUUGGCAAGGAGCACAAAGAAAGGAGGAAGCUGGCAGACAAGCUGGCUCGAGAAGAAUCUGAGAGUACUUCAAGUUCUGCUGCAGUGCUUGGUGAGAUGGACGACGUCACAGCACAGAAGUCAUGUGGAGGUUCCUGCAGUCGGCAGCCUGUGGACAGCACCACCACAGACUUGAAGGUGUCCGGUGUUGCUGGUUGUGAAGAGGAAGUGAAGAAGUUGCAGCUGGACAGGAGGAAGCCAACUGUUGAUGAUAUAGAUUUCUAACCUCAUGAAAAAACUGUAACAAUUAAAUAUCUGUGAGCCACUUUGACAAAGUAA